UUGGCCUUCCAAGCCUCACCUCCAUGAUGGGCCAACCCAUCUCUCUGUAUCUCAGCCAUCCACCCGACAGGCUGUGCUGUUUCAUGUUUUUGUUUUUUGGACUAGUCUGCCUGCCUGAAUUUCCCUGCUCUGUCUCCUCCAGGAAUGAAAAUGCACAAACUGCUAAGAAGGUGAAAAUACUGUGAAAUGUAUGCCCUUGAAACUAUAGAAUUGUGAAAUCAAGAAAUGUGUAAGCUCUAUACCCAACAUGGAGCUCAAACUCACGACCCGGAGAUUCAUUCUUAUUGGACCUGCUCACAUAGAUGGCCCACUCUUGAAGCAGUCACCCUGAAGUCAUCUCUGAAGCCAGCUCUGAUUGGUAGGCCUGGGUCAUGUGCUUCAUUUUAAGGCUGAGGACAGAGCCCCAUUCACACCAUCUGGAUGCAAGUUGGGUGGGGAGGGAAUAUUCCAGUGAAAACCAGCGGUAGGGCUUGAAGAGGAGGAGUACAAACUGGGCAAGGCAAAGAGUAAAUGUGUACCAAAGAAAAAUUAUCUCAUCCAUUUUCACAAAUGCCUUCUGAGGCACAGAGAGAGUAAAUAAAUUGUCCUAGGUCACAUGGUUAAUGAGUAGU
rnacentral:lncRNA from 1 species